CGAACGGGUGAGUAACACGUGGGCAACCUGCCCAAAAGAGGGGGAUAACACUUGGAAACAGGUGCUAAUACCGCAUAACCAUAGUUACCGCAUGGUAACUAUGUAAAAGGUGGCUAUGCUACCGCUUUUGGAUGGGCCCGCGACGCAUUAGCUAGUUGGUGGGGUAAAGGCUUACCAAGGCAAUGAUGCGUAGCCGAACUGAGAGGUUGAUCGGCCACAUUGGGACUGAGACACGGCCCAAACUCCUACGGGAGGCAGCAG
rnacentral:rRNA from 1 species